rnacentral:lncRNA from 1 species
CUAAUCGCCUCAGCUGUGUGUAUGCGUGUGUGUGUACAAGCACCACUGCGUCAGGCAAUUUUUAUGCUUUUUCACACAUACUGUGUUUCUGCACGUGCACAUGUGCCACAGUGUUUGCGUGUCCUGGUUUAUGUGGUAUCAGUGUCAGCUAUGGCGACCCAGGCUGACCUCGCUCCAGUCAGAGGAGCUGAAGGACGAGGAGGGGGAGAAGGGAGCGUACCUGUCAGGGUGGAGUUCACAGAACACAGCCUUACCUACAUGGACAGAUUGCUUCUCAAGAAGCACCGCAGGAUGCCAAUCGAAACUUAUCGUCCAUCGUUGGCCUUUGGUACGGAUUUAAAAUCACCACCUAAAACAAAUACUGGGGAGGAGACUGCAAGCCUAACAGCUCAGGAGGAGGAUUUUCUUCGCUACUGUGCAUCAUUGUUUGCUGUCCCUGUCAGCAGCGGCAGGACUGAGCCUCAGAUUACUAAACCUGAAUCGUGCCUGGUCAUAGAAGUUCUGGAUGAGGUGAGAAGGACCGAAGCGUUUCAUUUGAACAAACGUGA